rnacentral:rRNA from 1 species
UACAGAGGUGCCGAGCGUUAGGCGGAAUCGCUGGGCUUAAAGCGUGUGUAGGCGGCCUUCUAAGUACCUUGUGAAAUCCCACGGCUCACCCGUGGAACUGCUGGGUAUACUGGUCGUCUUGAGCCACCUAGGGGCCAGCGGAACAAAUGGUGGAGCGGUGAAAUGCGUAGAGAUCCGGAAGAACACCGGUGGCGAAGGCGGUCUGCUGGGCAGUUGCUGACACUGAGGCGUGACAGCGUGGGGAGCAAACAGG